UACAUUGUCAUAACAACAGCAUGUGAAAGCAUUAGACAGAGGGUCAGGUGGUUUGUCUUAUUUACCAUCUUGCCAAUGGUGGCGUUUUUUUCAUAAUAUUGAAAAGAGAGGAGCCGGUGCUUGACUUUACGACAAGUAUAUUUGUCUGAAUUUACACAGCCAGUAAACAGUCAGUUUUGUUAGUUUGUAUUCAUAUGCAAGCAAAGCGUGCUUCAGGGUGGCAGCAUCAACGUCUCCAAGGAAAUAUCAGCAUCAUUUAUUGGAACCUUUUUUUAUCUUCAGUUCAAUAGGAGGAGUCUGAGGGACUAUCUGGAGGAGUCUGAGGGACUAUCUGGAGGAGUCUGAGGGACUAUCUGGAGGAGUCUGAGGGACUAUCUGGAGGAGUCUGAGGGACUAUCUGGAGGAGUCUGAGGGACUAUCUGGAGGAGGUGGCGCCUGGCUUGGCAUCAGCCUCAAUGACAAGCUCUUAUUUACCGUCCAGAUCUAUGACUCAUUUUAUGUACCUAAUCGUAAAGCACUGAAAUUUAUCAGAGGGAAUGGGCCAGUGGGGAAUACCCCAGGAGACACACUGAUUGACCCCCCUUUGGAAAAGAGACUGUCCUCAGCUCCUCCACAGAUACUGUCCUCCGCAGGACCAAGCCUGGGCACACCCUCCCUCUGGACCGGCCCUGCUCAGCAUCCCCCUUACCCCCUCUCCUCCUUCAACUACCCCCCUCUUCCUCCUACCCCCACCCCAGUGAUAGCUCUGCCCUCCCUAGGGGAACCUCAUCAAUUACGUCCGGAUGUUUGACUGGCAGAGGCUUAAUGACAGGAGCUCGGUAUUGACCUGACUGCUACACACUGAAAAUUCGGUUCCGUUCGCCUUUUUAAAAAACUUGUCAAACGAUUCCUGGGAAAUUCUUCUUUGCACAGGGAAUCAAACUUGUUUACGCGCCCUAUUUUCAAUGUUUUUUUGGACUCUCCAUGCGGAUUCAUGGAGAUAAGUGAAUCUUAUCCAUAACUCAAGGUGAAAUGGAUCAGCUUUGAUUAGUGAGGUGUAAAAUAUUUUAGUUCAAGAGACUUCAAGUACAAUGUGUUGUACAGUUGUUCCAUCAUCCGUCUCUUCAAGAAAACCAAACAGGGAAACAAUGUUCUGCUUCAGUUCCCUUCAAGAACGUGGGCAGACACCAGGUUUCAUUUGAUGUGCUAUUGCCCAGCCUUUUCAGCUAUUGU
rnacentral:lncRNA from 13 species